GGGCGCUUAGCUCAGUGGGAGAGCACUUGCUUCACACGCAAGGGGUCGUUGGUUCAAUCCCAACAGCGCCCACCA
rnacentral:tRNA from 3 species